rnacentral:misc_RNA from 1 species
GCAUUCCUCUUUGACGUAACCCACCUGCUGGUACAAGCCAAUGCGGGAUGGGCGGUCAUUUAAAGAGAAGCGUGAAUGCUAAACAAGGGCAGAAGAAGGGCCCCAUGAGACCCCAUGCCCACAUCAGGUUCCGUAUCCAAGAUAACAAGCAAUGCUCAAUGGGCCACAAGAUCAAUGCAAGCACUAACAAUGUGGUUCAAAGAGACAGCUUCAAGGUCCAUCUCAUGCCAAGUGGAUGACAAAAGACAAAGGCUACUUCAUUCGAUCAAGACAAUACCAUGCCUUAGGUAGGAAACACAGGAAACCCACAAUCUACAUAGGUGAUUAAAACACCUAGGCAAGCAACUGAAGAGGUAAGUAGGGUGGCAGUUGUUGCGCAAGCAAA